UUGGGAGAAACAAAUGAAGAGUUUCAGCGCUUUGAAAAGAGUUAACAAAGAUUGCAACCAGAAGAAAAUUAAACCACAGGGGCAACUAAGCCUUAUACUUUUAGCCUAUACACGGAAGACAAACAACAACCAAAAGAAAAGGAAGGCUGUGUAGCUACACUACCUUGACUCAUAUUUAUUCAUUUAGUUAUGCAGUUGCUUUCCUUUCUAUUUGUUAACCUAUCUCAAUAGGAAAUGCAGUAGUUGCACCCAAAACAAAACGUCUACAAGACAAUUCUCUGGUUACUGUUAAUUGUGUUCAUACAAAUAGAUUCAACACUUCAAGAAAUAGAAGUUGCCCAACCAUGGUCCCAACCAUGGCACACAUGCGUAUAUCUCUUCCACUAAAUAAAAAUGAUUUCUAGCACCUAAGCACCAUCGGAUUAGAUUUAGCACCUGAUGACCAGAAAGCAAUGCAACUAAAUUAAAACAGGGAACACAUGCAAGGGAUGAGAAUAUACCUGUAAAAUUCCUUAAUUGCUCCCAACGACUUAUCUCUAAGAUAUUCUUCCGACAUAUCUGAAGGAACAUUUUGUGUUAAAGCUGCCCCAUGUGAGCGAGUAGGCGGUGCAGUAAGAGAUCUAUCAAAACUACGAUCUGAACUCCGUGGAUCCCUCCCACCAAAACUUAUAUUACGCUCUGGUCCACUUGACUGAUCAUAAGCAGCAGGACCUCCAAAUCUAUCAGGCACAAUUCUCAGUAUUAAAUCCUCCCUGGGGUUGUAAGUUGCCCGCUCUGAGUGGGAACUGAAACCAUUCAAACCAGUUGUCAUCCUCCUGGAGUCUCCAGGGUUAUGAGAUAACUCAGGG
rnacentral:lncRNA from 1 species